rnacentral:rRNA from 1 species
GACGAACGCUGGCGGCGUGCCUAAUACAUGCAAGUAGAACGCUGAAGCUUGGUGCUUGCACCGAGCGGAUGAGUUGCGAACGGGUGAGUAACGCGUAGGUAACCUGCCUGGUAGCGGGGGAUAACUAUUGGAAACGAUAGCUAAUACCGCAUAAGAGUAGAUGUUGCAUGACAUUUGCUUAAAAGGUGCAAUUGCAUCACUACCAGAUGGACCUGCGUUGUAUUAGCUAGUUGGUGAGGUAACGGCUCACCAAGGCGACGAUACAUAGCCGACCUGAGAGGGUGAUCGGCCACACUGGGACUGAGACACGGCCCAGACUCCUACGGGAGGCAGCAGUAGGGAAUCUUCGGCAAUGGACGGAAGUCUGACCGAGCAACGCCGCGUGAGUGAAGAAAGGGUUUUUCGGGAUCGUAAAAGCUCUGUUGUAAAGAGA